UAAUACGGAGGGUGCAAGCGUUAAUCGGAAUUACUGGGCGUAAAGCGCACGCAGGCGGUUUGUUAAGUCAGAUGUGAAAUCCCCGGGCUCAACCUGGGAACUGCAUUUGAAACUGGCAAGCUAGAGUCUCGUAGAGGGGGGUAGAAUUCCAGGUGUAGCGGUGAAAUGCGUAGAGAUCUGGAGGAAUACCGGUGGCGAAGGCGGCCCCCUGGACGAAGACUGACGCUCAGGUGCGAAAGCGUGGGGAGCAAACAGGAUUAGAUACCCCUGGUAGUCCACGCUGUAAACGAUGUCGAUUUGGAGGUUGUGCCCUUGAGGCGUGGCUUCCGGAGCUAACGCGUUAAAUCGACCGCCUGGGGAGUACGGCCGCAAGAUU
rnacentral:rRNA from 1 species